rnacentral:rRNA from 1 species
AUUGAACGCUGGCGGCAUGCCUUACACAUGCAAGUCGAACGGUAACAGGUCUUCGGAUGCUGACGAGUGGCGAACGGGUGAGUAAUACAUCGGAACGUGCCCGAUCGUGGGGGAUAACGGAGCGAAAGCUUUGCUAAUACCGCAUGCGAUCUACGGAUGAAAGCAGGGGACCGCAAGGCCUUGCGCGGACGGAGCGGCCGAUGGCAGAUUAGGUAGUUGGUGGGAUAAAAGCUUACCAAGCCGACGAUCUGUAGCGGGUCUGAGAGGACGACCAGCCACACUGGGACUGAGACACGGCCCAGACUCCUACGGGAGGCAGCAGUGGGGAAUUUUUCUCAAUGGGCGCAAGCCUGAAGGAGCGACGCCGCGUGGGGGAUGAAGGGUUUCGAUCCGUAAACCCCUGUCAUUCGUGAACAAUGGUUACCAUUGAAUAUUUGGUGACUUGAUAGUAACGGAAGAGGAAGGGACGGCUAACUCUGUGCCAGCAGCCGCGGUAACAC